AAGACGAUGACGUUGAUAGGUCGGGUGUGUAAGUGUAGCGAUACAUUGAGCUAACCGAUACUAAUGAACCGUGAGGCUUAACCUUACAACGCCGAAG
rnacentral:rRNA from 1 species